rnacentral:rRNA from 1 species
UGCGUAGGUGGCCUUUUAAGUUGGAUGUGAAAUACCCGAGCUUAACUUGGGGGGUGCAUCUAAUACUGGAGGGCUAGAGUGCAGGAGAGGAAAGCGGAAUUCCUAGUGUAGCGGUGAAAUGCGUAGAUAUUAGGAGGAACACCAGUGGCGAAGGCGGCUUUCUGGACUGUAACUGACACUGAGGCACGAAAGCGUGGGGAGCAAACA